rnacentral:rRNA from 1 species
UGCUUGAAUGAUCGUGCAUGGAAUAAUAGAAAACGAUUUCGGUUCAGUUUUAUUGGUUUUACGGACUGAGAUAAUGGUUAACAGAGACAAACGGGGGCAUUUGUAUGGCCCCGUGAGAGGUGAAAUUCUUGGACCGUGGCCAGACAAACUACAGCGAAAGCAUUUGCCAAGAAUGUCUUCAUUAAUCAAGAACGAAAGUCAGAGGUUCGAAGGCGAUCAGAUACCGCCCUAGUUCUGACCGUAAACGAUGCCAACUAGCGAUCCGCCGAUGGAAAUUAUAUUGCCUUGGUGGGGAGCUUCCCGGAAACGAAAGUCUUCCGGUUCCGGGGGAAGUAUGGUUGCAAAGCUGAAACUUAAAGGAAUUGACGGAAGGGCACCACCAGGAGUGGAGCCUGCGGCUUAAUUUGACUCAACACGGGGAAACUCACCCGGCCCGGACACUGUGAGGAUUGACAGAUUGAUAGCUUUUUCAUGAUUCAGUGGAUGAUGGUGCAUGGCCGUUCUUAGUUCGUGGAGUGAUUUGUCUGGUUUAUUCCGAUAACGAGCGAGACUCUAACCUACUAAAUAGCUGGUACAUACUCUUAGUGUAUACAGCUUCUUAGAGGGAUUUGCGGUGUUCAGCCGAAAGAAAUUGAGCAAUAACAGGUCUGUGAUGCCCUUAGAUGUCCGGGGCUGCACGCGCGCUACACUGGCAAAAUCAACGUGCUUGUCCUACCCCGAAAGGGGCGGGUAAACCAUUGAAAAUUUGCCGUGAUUGGGAUCGGAAAUUGCAAUUAUUUUCCGUGAACGAGGAAUUCCAAGUAAGUGCGAGUCAUCAGCUCGCGUUGAUUACGUCCCUGCCCUUUGUACACACCGCCCGUCGCUGCCCGGGACUGAGCCAUUUCGAGAAAUUUGGGGACCGUUGAUUUAAUUUUUCUAAAUUACUUUGAUGGAAACCAAUUUAAUCGCAGUGGCUUGAACCGGGCAAAAGUCGUAACAAGGUAGCUGUAGGUGAACCUGCUGCUG